UUAUAUGGCGGCUGUGCGUGGGGCACCUUUGCGUGCGCCGGGCUCCUUGAUCCUCGGUCUGUCAACCCGCGUACAGCUGCCACCCAA
rfam:Pseudomonas chlororaphis subsp. aureofaciens 30-84 chromosome, whole genome shotgun sequence.